rnacentral:rRNA from 1 species
CCUACGGGUGGCAGCAGUGAGGAAUAUUGGUCAAUGGACGAGAGUCUGAACCAGCCAAGUAGCGUGAAGGAUGACUGCCCUAUGGGUUGUAAACUUCUUUUAUAUGGGAAUAAAAUGUUCCACGUGUGGGAUUUUGUAUGUACCAUAUGAAUAAGGAUCGGCUAACUCCGUGCCAGCAGCCGCGGUAAUACGGAGGAUCCGAGCGUUAUCCGGAUUUAUUGGGUGUAAAGGGAGCGUAGGUGGAUUGUUAAGUCAGUUGUGAAAGUUUGCGGGUCAACCGUAAAAUUGCAGUUGAAACUGGCAGUCUUGAGUACAGUAGAGGUGGGCGGAAUUCGUGGUGUAGCGGUGAAAUGCUUAGAUAUCACGAAGAACUCCGAUUGCGAAGGCAGUUCACUGGACUGCAACUGACACUGAGGCUCGAAGGUGUGGGUAUCAAACAGGAUUAGAUACCCCAGUAGUC